UUUCCCUCAGGAUAGCUGGCACUCGCUUAAAGCGAGUCUCAUCUGGUAAAGCGAAUGAUUAGAGGCCUUGGGGCCGAAACGACCUCAACCUAUUCUCAAACUUUAAAUGGGUGAGAUCUCUGGCUUGCUUGAAACUUGAAGCCACGAGAUUAACAUUGUAAAAUGGAUCAGAGUGCCAAGUGGGCCAAUUUUGGUAAGCAGAACUGGCGCUGUGGGA
rnacentral:rRNA from 1 species